CGCCGGCAGCUUCUGCUUCGCCCGCCGCCGGCAACUACUGCCGCCUUCGUGCGCCGGCGCCGCACUGCGCACAUCUACUAUACUGGAUCCCCACUAGCGCCAUGCCAGUCUGCUCCCAAGUGCGACAUCAAGGCUAACCCUAGCCUUGUGGCUCGGGCUCACCGAGGCGGCUCCGACACCUCGAACUCGUCUGCGCCCCCCCUCCAUGGACGCCUCCACCAGUUCCACGCAGCCUCCCUAGCACCACGCCUCCUAGGAAGGCCCAGCGGCAACCCUAUUUGUAUCGCUCGGGCUGCCGGCGCUGCUUCCAGCACCAGCUCCUUCGGCUGCACCUUCGACGCCCCCGAGAUCCUCUCCGUCGACCUCGCCCUCUGGUGCUCCUACUGGUCCACCACGACGCCCUCUCCUUCAACCUUGAGCAUACCAUGAUGCCUCGGCCUCCCCUGGUUUCAUGUGCUCACUCGGCUCUAUAAUGGUGCGACUAUGGUGGUACGACUCUGGUGUUGGCCUGGGCUGGCCUUGGCCUUUUGCCCGCUGGUUGCUGUGAUGACACCUUCGUCAACAUCCAUUCAGGCUAGCACAUCAAGCACAUCUGCACCGGCCAGAGCAAGAACAAUCAACAUUGAACAUCUCGUCGGCACACCAGACUCAGCUGCACUUCGAACUGAUGUAAUUGGACCUGCAGCUACUGUAGUUGCACAUGGGAUUUUAGUGGAUAUGCAACCGAGUUUGUUUUCCAAAUGUUUCUGUUUGUUGCAUGGAACUUGGGUUUUCCUGUCUAUCAAAGUUGAUGGUUUGUAUGCUCAUUGGAUCUCUGAAUCUAACUUAGUUGUCAUAGGGAUUGUUGUCCUUGAUUUCAAGGACCUAAGUUUUUUUUCUUGUAAUCUAAGUUGUUUCAAGUUUGUUCUUUGUUGCAUACAAAUGGGAUCUAUGAAUCCAACUAA